GAGAGUAGGCCUCUCGCAAUCAAGAGAUAGGUCGGAUUGCAAACUACCAUAAGCGGCUGCAAUUAAGAGUUGUGGUCGUGAGCGUUAUGGAAAAGGCAUGACAUGAUCAUGUUAUGU
rnacentral:ncRNA from 1 species